AUUGAACGCUGGCGGCAGGCCUAACACAUGCAAGUCGAGCGGAUGAAGGGAGCUUGCUCCUGGAUUCAGCGGCGGACGGGUGAGUAAUGCCUAGGAAUCUGCCUGGUAUUGGGGGAUAACGUCCGUAAACGGGCGCUAAUACCGCAUACGUCCUUAUGGAGAAAGUGGGGGAUCUUCGGACCUCACGCUAUCAGAUGAGCCUAGGUCGUAUUAGCUAGUUGGUGGGGUAAAGGCCUACCAAGGCGACGAUCCGUAACUGGUCUGAGAGGAUGAUCAGUCACACUGGAACUGAGACACGGUCCAGACUCCUACGGGAGGCAGCAGUGGGGAAUAUUGGACAAUGGGCGAAAGCCUGACCCAGCCAUGCCGCGUGUGUGAAGAAGGUCUUCGGAUUGUAAAGCACUUUAAGUUGGGAGGAAGGGCAGUAAGUUAAUACCUUGCUGUUUUGACGUUACCAACAGAAUAAGCACCGGCUAACUUCGUG
rnacentral:rRNA from 1 species